UCCACAGUAGCUCAGUGGUAGAGCUAUCGGCUGUUAACCGAUCGGUCGUAGGUUCAGUCCUACCUGUGGAGCCA
rnacentral:tRNA from 1 species